UACGUAGGGGGCAAGCGUUGUCCGGAUUUAUUGGGUUUAAAGGGUGCGUAGGCGGUCUUUUAAGUCAGUGCUGAAAUAUCCCGGCUUAACCGGGAGGGUGGCAUUGAUACUGAAGGACUUGAGUUCAGUCGAGGUAGGCGGAAUUGACGGUGUAGCGGUGAAAUGCUUAGAUAUCGUCAAGAACACCGAUAGUGUAGACAGCUUACUAGGCUGAAACUGACGCUGAGGCACGAAAGUGUGGGGAUCAAACAGG
rnacentral:rRNA from 1 species